rnacentral:rRNA from 1 species
UACGAAGGGGGCUAGCGUUGCUCGGAAUCACUGGGCGUAAAGGGCGCGUAGGCGGACUUUUAAGUCGGAGGUGAAAGCCCAGGGCUCAACCCUGGAAUUGCCUUCGAUACUGGGAGUCUUGAGUUCGGAAGAGGUUGGUGGAACUGCGAGUGUAGAGGUGAAAUUCGUAGAUAUUCGCAAGAACACCAGUGGCGAAGGCGGCUCACUGGCCCGGUACUGACGCUGAGGUGCGAAAGCGUGGGGAGCAAACAGG